AGGGAGGAGGACAGACACAUGAAAAGAGAAAAAAGCAUAUUUGUGAGCCAGAAAAACCUUAUCCUCUGGUGCAGACUGUUUACCAGGCAUCAAAAAUAAUUGGUCUGCGGGAGCGAGGACUGUGUCUGAAAGAUUCUGAGCUUAGCUUCAAGCACAGUGCCUGGCACAUGGAGAAUCCGGGUGGGAGGACAAAGCAGGUAGAAGAGGCGGCGAGUGCACUGGGAAAAUGGAGUCGGAACACGGAAUCUUCAGUUUUCCCCACUGCAAGAUGGCUCCGUGCACACCGCGGGGACUCGGGGAGAGUGCCUGUUUUAUCCAUUUUGGAGCAGCGUCCACGCUUCAAGCCUUGGGAUCCUA